rnacentral:misc_RNA from 1 species
GUGUCUCUAGCAGAUUUUUGACUGCAGAAAGCAAAAAAGUAAUUAGAAAAUUGUAUGUAAAUAUGGAUUAAGAAGCUUGAUGCAUACAAAAGCAAAAUGAAGAGGGGUUGAAAAUGAAAUCGAAUACUGAAAAGGAAGAGGAUGUUUUACAGAUUCACAUAAUAAGAAUUUCAUGACUCAUCACACUAAUAACAAACAAUUAGAAAUAGAAAGGAAUAAAGAAAUUGCGUAUAAUAAUUAUCCUCACCUUGUUAAUGAAGGGCAAAAUGUG